rnacentral:rRNA from 1 species
AUUGAACGCUGGCGGCAUGCUUUACACAUGCAAGUCGAACGGCAGUGCGGGCUUCGGCCUGGCGGCGAGUGGCGAACGGGUGAGUAAUGCAUCGGAACGUGCCCAGUAGUGGGGGAUAGCCCGGCGAAAGCCGGAUUAAUACCGCAUACGACCUGAGGGUGAAAGCGGGGGACCGAAAGGCCUCGCGCUAUUGGAGCGGCCGAUGUCGGAUUAGCUAGUUGGUGGGGUAAAGGCUUACCAAGGCGACGAUCCGUAGCUGGUCUGAGAGGACGACCAGCCACACUGGGACUGAGACACGGCCCAGACUCCUACGGGAGGCAGCAGUGGGGAAUUUUGGACAAUGGGGGCAACCCUGAUCCAGCCAUGCCGCGUGCGGGAAGAAGGCCUUCGGGUUGUAAACCGCUUUUGUUCGGGAAGAAAUCCUCUGGGCUAAUACCCCGGGGGGAUGACGGUACCGGAAGAAUAAGCACCGGCUAACUACGUG